AUGUUCGUCGAUAUCGCGAAUACAUUGCUUGACGUGCCGCCACGCGCGGCCCUCUCCUUCUUCCACUUAAUUUUGUUUUUCAGAAUCUCCUUCUCCCACUUACUUUUGUUUCGGGUGGAGCCACACAGCGCUACAAUGGCCCCGAGGGCCGAAACGCUAUCUGGCCCACGAAAGAAUACGCUGGUCCAGCUCAGCCUUCUCAUCAUCAACAGGGCCUGUUUGGAUUCAGACAAUAAACCCACGGAGAGGGUUAGAAUACGGCAAAAUAUCCGCAACGAGCUUGUGGAAAUGGCGACGACGGUGGUGCCGCUCGCCGCGGCCAUGGCCGCCGCUCCAAGGUCUCGCCUCCUGACCGCUCCAGACCCCUCCCCGUUCCUCGGGAUCCGCCCGCUCCUCUGCCGCUCUGCGCGCAGCGUCGCCUGCGCCCUUCGCCGACCUUCCAAGUACAAGAAUAAAAUUAAAGACGAGGUGGUGGUAGCAGAGGAUGACAUUGAUGGCGGUGACGAGGAUGACGAUGACGAGGGUGGGUUGGAAGCACUUUUCAAGCAGCUGGAAGAAGAUCUGAAGAACGACGAUUUAUCUGUCGAUGAUGAUGAUGAUGAAAUAUCAGAGGAAGAUAUGGCCAGGUUUGAACAGGUAUUGGCAGAAGCCAUGGGAGAUACCGAUGUCGCUGAUGAAUCUGCAGUGGAUUCGGCUCCAGGAUCCGAAGUUGUUGGUAAUGAUGAGGUAGCAGACCCAGUCGAAAAGCCAGAGCUCAAAAGCUGGCAGCUCCGGAGAUUGGCUCGUGCACUGAACAUUGGUCGGCGUAAAACUAGUAUAAAAAAUCUUGCAGGGGAGCUUGGCCUGGAUAGGGGUUUGGUCAUUGAAUUGCUCCGCAAUCCGCCUCCAGAACUUCUACUUAUGUCUGAUUCUUUGCCUGAUGAAGCCCCUUCUAAACCUGAAACUAAAGAAAUAGAGACCUCACCAGUAGCUGAUGAGGUUGAAGUUGAUGAGAUUGAAGCCACUGAAACCAAGCCACAGAUGGACCUUCCGGUUCAUGUCAUGAGCACAGAAUGGUCCGCGCAGAAAAGGCUGAAAAAGGCGCAACUGGAAACACUAGAAAAAGUUUACUUCAAAUCCAAAAGGCCAACUAAUACUAUGAUCAGUAGCAUAGUUCAAGUUACAAGCCUUCCACGAAAGACAAUUAUUAAGUGGUUUGAGGAUAGAAGGGAGCAAGAUGGUGUACCAGACCGUCGUGCCGCAUACAUGAGAUCCCUAUCUGAGACGAUGGCUAGUUGA
rnacentral:rRNA from 1 species